rnacentral:rRNA from 1 species
GAUGAACGCUGGCGGUGUGCCUAAUACAUGCAAGUCGAGCGAACGCACAAUAAGCUUUCUUUUCUGCUGUUAGCGGCUGGCGGGUGAGUAACACGUGGAUCACCUUCUUCUAUUUCUGGGAUAAUUUCGGAAAACCACAUCCGCUACCAGCUCAUAUUUUCUACCGCAUGGUUCAAAGGUUAUACACGGUCUUGCCGUCACUUUUAGCUGGUUCCGUGCUGCAUUAGCUAGUUGGUAAGGUAACGGCCUACCAAGGCAACGAUGCGUAGCCGAUCUGAGAGGGUGAUCGGCCACACUGGAACUGAGACACGGUCCAGACUCCUACGGGAGGCAGCAGUAGGGAAUCUUCGGCAAUGGGCGAAAGCCUGACGGAGCAACGCCGCGUGAGUGAUGAAGGUCUUCGGAUCGUAAAACUCUUUUAUUAGGGAAGAACAUAAGUGUGAGUAACUGUGCACAUCUUGACGGUACCUAAUGAGAAAGCCCCGGCUAACUACGUG